rnacentral:rRNA from 1 species
UACCAUGGUGGUAACGGGUAAUGGGGUGUUAGGGCACGACACCGGAGAGGGAGCCUGAGAAACGGCUACCACAUCCAAGGAUGGCAGCAGGCGCGCAAAUUACCCAAUCCCGACACGGGGAGGUAGUGACAAUAAAUAACAAUACGGGGUUCUUUAGGAUCUCGUAAUUGGAAUGAGUACAAUUUAAAUCUCUUAACGAGGAACAAUUGGAGGGCAAGUCUGGUGCCAGCAGCCGCGGUAAUUCCUGCUCCAAUAGCGUAUAUUAAAGUUGUUGCAGUUAAAAAGCUCGUAGUUGAAUUUCGGGGUCAGUAGGUCGGUCGUGCCACUGGUAUGAACUGGUUUUACUGAUUCCUCCCUCUUGAAGAACUGUAAUGCCAUUAAUUUGGUGUUGCAGGGAAUCAGGACUGUUACUUUGAAAAAAUUAGAGUGUUUAAAGCAGGCUUUGGCUUGAAUACAUUAGCAUGGAAUAAUGAAAUAGGACGUUUGAUCCUAUUUUGUUGGUUUCUAGGAUUGACGUAAUGAUUAAUAGGGAUAGUUGGGGGCAUUAGUAUUCAAUUGUCAGAGGUGAAAUUCUUGGAUUUAUUGAAGACUAACUACUGCGAAAGCAUUUGCCAAGGAUGUUUUCAUUAAUCAAGAACGAAAGUUAGGGGAUCGAAGACGAUCAGAUACCGUCGUAGUCUUAACCAUAAACUAUGCCGACUAGGGAUCGGAUGAUGUUAAUUUUUUAAUGACUCAUUCGGCGCCUUACGGGAAACCAAAGUGUUU